CAGUCGGUUUUUGUGGGUGUGGCAUCAUCAAGAUUCACAUGGACUCGCUGCGGCCGGCCGUUCUACAUGAGAAUCUUGAUGAUGCUGCAUCGGCAAACACAUGACUA
rnacentral:pre_miRNA from 15 species